rnacentral:rRNA from 1 species
UUGGAGGGCAAGUCUGGUGCCAGCAGCCGCGGUAAUUCCAGCUCCAAUAGCGUAUAUUAAAGUUGUUGCAGUUAAAAAGCUCGUAGUUGAACCUUGGGCCUGGCUGGCCGGUCCGCCUCACCGCGUGUACUGGUCCGGCCGGGCCUUUCCUUCUGGGGAACCUCAUGCCCUUCACUGGGCGUGUUGGGGAACCAGGACUUUUACUUUGAAAAAAUUAGAGUGUUCAAAGCAGGCAUUUGCUCGAAUACAUUAGCAUGGAAUAAUAGAAUAGGACGUGCGGUUCUAUUUUGUUGGUUUUUAGAGUCGCCGUAAUGAUUAAUAGGGAUAGUUGGGGGCAUUUGUAUUGCGUUGCUAGAGGUGAAAUUCUUGGAUUUACGCAAGACAAACUACUGCGAAAGCAUUUGCCAAGGAUGUUUUCAUUAAUCAAGGACGCAGGUUAGGGGAUCGAAAACGAUCAGAUACCGUUGUAGUCUUAACAGUAAACUAUGCCGACUAGGGAUCGGACGACCUCACAUUGAUGUGUCGUUCGGCGCCUUACGGGAAAC